ACGAACAUACAGAAGACACCAAUGGUAAUUACUUUGCAGACCCCAGGUUCCUUCUAUUUGAGAGGUACUUUCACUAACCUAAUAUAAGAACAUCAAAAGAUUUACCUCCCAUAGAUACCACCCCCAAGUCCUGGCCAAUGGCUUUAUCACCCCCUCAUCCUCACGAUCCUCCCUAUCAAAUCCAUCUCUCAGAGGCUCAUGCCGGCCUUUCUCACUCCAUCUUUUGCUACAGCUCCUCCGAGCCAAGUGAAUGAAGCAGAAUGCGUCGUUUGUCUUUGUGGUAUCAACAAAAAAUUUUUGCUUAGAUAGAUUGUUGGAUCACCAAGAGAGGACAUGUCACCUAGAGCAUCUAUAUUCAGGUAAGGAGGCUCAGUGAGGAGGCAAACUUGAGGUGAGCAAUGGUGAAGUGGACAGCAUUAUGAUAUAUCUUUUUGGUGAUCCUGGCCUUGAGGUUGCAUGGUGGAUGAGGUAAGUAUAUGUGUCAGAAUUUAUCAAUAAUGCAUGUCUGUCCACAGAAGCUUGUUACAAGAAAGAAAGCAUGUCCAAAAUGAUUGAGCUUUCUGACGAUGGAGAAUGUCUUUGUCAUGGUAAUAGUCAUUAUUAUCAUAUAUAGUUCCAUUGACUCUUAUAUGAUACAAAUACAUGGUUCUGGUUUGAUUUUAU
rnacentral:lncRNA from 1 species